rnacentral:snoRNA from 1 species
AUCCUUCUGUAGUUCAUAAGCGUGAUGAUCGAGGGUUCGCGCCAUUGUGUGACAUGUGCCACCCUUAAACCUUGUUACCACGUUGGCACAUUACCUGUCUGACG